ACACACAACACCUGCUGUGAUGGUUGUGUUCUACUGCUGUUCUACUGCUCUGUUCUCCUGUUGUGUUCCAUUGUUGUGUUCUACUGUUGUGUACUAUUGUUGUGUUCCAUUGUUGUGUUCUACUGUUGUGUUUCUGUUCGUCUCCUCCUGCAGGUCACAGCAGUGAUUGACAGGUGUGUGGGUGGUCCUUACCUGUGUCCCUCCCUCCAGGAGUGAGGAAUGCUACCUGGCCUAUUUGCGGGGGCUGAAGCCGAUUGGUCGACUCACCUGGUUCGUAUUUACAGAUGAAGUUGUGCUUCAUGUUGCAGCGGUCGUCGUUCCAUUGAUAGAGAUAAGCCCCGCCCAGACCAGGCAGUGCAGUGGGCUGAUGGUACAUGACGACGCACGCCUCGCCGCCGCAGGACGGCUCGUCCAGGUGUGUCUCUGACAUCACACUCACCUGAAGGUGGCCACGCUACCGUCCGUCCACUGGUACAGCUGUGGACAGGAAGUGAAGGAGUUGCUGGGUUCAGUUUGAUCCACACGGGUCAGCCCGAUCCAGAAAUCUCCGUCAGAGAUCCCUCCUCUGCCAGCUGAGGCUCCGCCCACCGCACCUGAACGCAGCUCCUGACGAUGAGGAGGAGGACGAAGGUCAGGAGGGGAAGCAGAGGCAGUAGAAGACCAGGUGUGUGUCUCACCUGCAGAAGGUUUUCGAUGUCUCUCUGCUCUGUAGGACUCUGGAUGCUGAGCAGCGAUCCUCCGUCCAUCUCACAGGCCUGGACUGCCUCCCUGAAGGCCACACGGCUCGACACGUCCUGGAAAUACGCCAUCUUAUAGCACGGACUCUCGGGACCGCCCAUACACACCGUCUGACCUGUACACAAAGCCCCGCCUACGUCACUGGACCCAUGAUGUCAUCACUGGAUCAGUGACAUCAUCCUACCAGACUUCAGUGUGCUGCCUGGAACUAUAACAGGUCUUAAAUAAGUUAUUAUUUUAAUAAUUAAAUCAUAUAAAUAUUCCAGAA